CCUACGGGGGGCAGCAGUGGGGAAUAUUGCACAAUGGGCGCAAGCCUGAUGCAGCCAUGCCGCGUGCGUGGAGAAGGCCUUCGGGUUGUAAAGCACUUUCAGCGGGGAGGAAGGCGUUAAGGUUAAUAACCUUGGCGAUUGACGUUACCCGCAGAAGAAGCACCGGCUAACUCCGUGCCAGCAGCCGCGGUAAUACGGAGGGUGCAAGCGUGAAUCGGAAUUACUGGGCGUAAAGCGCACGCAGGCGGUCUGUCAAGUCGGAUGUGAAAUCCCCGGGCUCAACCUGGGAACUGCAUUCGAAACUGGCAGGCUAGAGUCUUGUAGGGGGGGGUAGAAUUCCCGGUGUAGCGGUGAAAUGCGUAGAGAUCUGGAGGAAUACCGGUGGCGAAGGCGGCCCCCUGGACAAAGACUGACGCUCAGGUGCGAAAGCGUGGGGAGCAAACAGGAUUAGAUACCCCAGUAGUC
rnacentral:rRNA from 1 species